rnacentral:rRNA from 1 species
AGAGGGGGCCAGCGUUAUUCGGAAUCAUUGGGCGUAAAGCGCGCGUAGGCGGCGAGGCAAGUUGGAUGUGAAAGCCCUGGGCUCAACCCAGGAUGUGCAUACAAAACUGCCUCGCUUGAAUCUCGGAGGGGGUCAGGGAAUUCCCGGUGUAGAGGUGAAAUUCGUAGAUAUCGGGAGGAACACCAGUGGCGAAGGCGCUGACCUGGACGAUGAUUGACGCUGAGGCGCGAAAGCGUGGGGAGCAAACAGGAUUAGAUACCCUGGUAGUCCACGCCGUAAACGAUGGAUGCUAGCCGUCGGCAAGCUUGCUUGUCGGUGGCGCAGCUAACGCAUUAAGCAUCCCGCCUGGGGAGUACGGCCGCAAGGUUA